UAAUUUCGGCACGCGUCAACGAGUCAACUCUCAAUAUUAUGUUACCGAUCACUUAAAAUAGAGGUUUUGGUGAUGGCUCCAUGAUCAAAGUACGACACGUACACGUUGGCGUUCUGGCAUCAUCAAGGCACGUCUUAAUUCACUAAUUUUAGUAAUUUACUAAAUUGAUCUUAGUAUUAUGCAAAUGUAAGAAUAGAAUACACUGGAAUGACUGCAUAAAGUAGAGCAAAAUUUUCCCACUUCUGCAGUCCAAUAUUGUCAACAAAAUGCCAAGAAUAUUUAAGAUACCGUAUCAUACGUUACCAUAAACAAAUGAUGCUCCUAUACAUAUGUAAAUAUGAGUGUAGGAGGGGUUUGCAAUCAAACGUAAAAUCGGAGUAGCUAACUUUGAACUUUGAACAUAUCUAUCAUUUAUUAAAUAUGCUAUAGAAUAAGCAUUACUUCAAUAUUUGUCGUCCUCCCAAAGAAAAGACUGUUAAUGCUGUAUGUAACGUUUUUUACACAACGUUAUGAUUAUGCGUUAGACUUUGUUCUCAAGGCUGAAUGCAUAACUAUACAUUUAAAACAUUAACCAUAUACUUCAUUUUCUGUAAAAAGUGAUCAUUAAACAUUAAUGGCAAGCA